rnacentral:rRNA from 1 species
GACGAACGCUGACGGCGUGCUUAACACAUGCAAGUCGAACGGUGAAGCGCCUUCCUUUUUGGUGGGUGUGGAUGAGUGGCGAACGGGUGAGUAACACGUGAGUAACCUGCCCCCUUCUUCUGGAUAACCGCAUGAAAGUGCGGCUAAUACGGGAUAUUCUGGGUCUGUCGCAUGAUGGGUCUGGGAAAGAUAUUGUUUCGGUGGGGGAUGGGCUCGCGGCCUAUCAGCUUGUUGGUGGGGUGAUGGCCUACCAAGGCGGUGACGGGUAGCCGGCCUGAGAGGGUGGACGGUCACACUGGGACUGAGACACGGCCCAGACUCCUACGGGAGGCAGCAGUGGGGAAUAUUGCACAAUGGGCGCAAGCCUGAUGCAGCGACGCCGCGUGAGGGAUGGAGGCCUUCGGGUUGUGAACCUCUUUCGCCAGUGAAGCAGGCCUGCCUCGUUUGUGGGUGGGUUGACGGUAGCUGGAUAAGAAGCGCCGGCUAACUACGUG